CAACCCAAGCCCUCCAGGACCGGAUUUGGGGACCCCUGGCCUAAGUGAACAUCACCUACCUUGACUGCAUCACCAAUGAGGAGGUACUUAGUCGGUGAGGCCUGCCCAAAGUGGACGACACAGUCACUGGCUUUCGAGUCAACCUGACAGCCCACAACCUCGGCCUACCCAACCACCGAAACCCUAAGACAGCAGUGAACUGGAAACCAAGAAAUGGAAAAGAGAAGCAGCAGGGCUUUGGCCUUCAAGACCUUUGUGAAGACUUGAAAGCAGUUGACAUUGAUUUGGAAAGGAGCCACAACUACUGCAGCCGAUCGCAAAUUGUUUCAGAACGCUUGCUGCCAAGUGCGCUGAGUGCCACGGGAGGCUCUAAGACAAAGACUGAUAAAUGGACCCGCUCAUGGCCUAAUUCCUUCUAGAAGAUUCCACUCCCCUAAGAAUAUACGGGUGUUAUGACAACAUGAACGUGAUCUACUUGGUUUAUUUGCAUUUCACAGCUUUUAUAUUGAACUGUGAUAAAAUCUGAGGACAAACAUUAUGCCAGGAAAUACAACCACAUGUUAACAGAGCCACUAGAAUCCUUCACAGUUUGAUCCUGUGGAUGUGCGCCACACACUUGUUUGACUGCCUCUUGAGAAAGAGAUGGAGGAAGUCUCAUUUGUAAAGUGCGUGUUGAUGUGUAUCAAAUGAACUUAAAAUGGCUCUGACGAAUGUUGCAAUUUCUGUCGAUGUGACCCCCCACUGAACUGGCUGUCCAAAUAUUUCUUAGUGUGCAGCAAACUGCCCAAAGACCCGGCUUUGCAGUCUUCAAGGCUCUAUUAAUGUACAUUCAACUAGACACAAAUCUGAGGAGGCAAGUCCAUGAUAAUCAGCCCAACCAGACGCGGAGCGUAGAUCUGUUUGAACGGAAACAAAUCUUAACAGCGGAUGUUAGACAGAGCUUGGUGGACUUGGUGAAGUCUUCUGCCUGUAUGGUUGCAACAUGGACACAGAUCUGACUAGACAUUUGGUUUUGUCAUCCUAGAAUACUAACCACAGAAAAAAAGAUGUGGCAUGAAGCGGUACGGAAAAAGACGCAGCCAUCGUCUGGGAUUCGAUGACUUGUGAUAGGCAUAACAGGCAUGAGGCAAAGCUGCAUCCUCAAACAAUUGAUACUCUCCUAGAAUAGCCCCCCAAAAAGCAGCCAGCAGUUGGCACCACACAGCACAGCGGAGUAUUGAAGGACAAAUCGCGUCUACUGAUCAAGCUUCCCCAACCAGAAACUCCAGCGUUGCCAAUG